AGAAGGGCUUCCGCAACGGAGACGUUCGGGGGCCUUUUUCUUUUGC
rnacentral:antisense_RNA from 1 species